CAGCAGCCGCGGGAAUACGGAGGGGGCUAGCGUUGUUCGGAAUUACUGGGCGUAAAGCGCACGUAGGCGGCUUGGUAAGUUAGAGGUGAAAGCCCGGAGCUCAACUCCGGAAUUGCCUUUAAGACUGCCGAGCUAGUAGGUGAGAGAGGUAAGUGGAAUUCCGAGUGUAGAGGUGAAAUUCGUAGAUAUUCGGAAGAACACCAGUGGCGAAGGCGGCUUACUGGCUCAUUCUAGACGCUGAGGUGCGAAAGCGUGGGGAGCAAACAGGAUUAGAUACCCCCGUAGUCCCUGUCUCUUAUAC
rnacentral:rRNA from 1 species